ACUUAAUAGCAGGCUGCACUGACCAUGUUGGAUCACUUGAGAGCUUAAAAGCUAAGCUGGGUAGGGCCUGGUUAGUACUUGGAUGGGAGACCCCAUCUGAUUGUCAACUGUCUUUUUUAUAUA
ensembl:rRNA 5S_rRNA 5S ribosomal RNA